rnacentral:rRNA from 1 species
GACGAACGCUGGCGGCGUGCUUAACACAUGCAAGUCGAACGGAAAGGCCUCUUUCGGGGGGUACUCGAGUGGCGAACGGGUGAGUAACACGUGAGUAACCUGCCCUUGACUUUGGGAUAACUACAGGAAACUGGGGCUAAUACCGGAUAGGAGCUCCUGCUGCAUGGUGGGGGUUGGAAAGUUUCGGCGGUUGGGGAUGGAUUCGCGGCUUAUCAGCUUGUUGGUGGGGUAGUGGCUUACCAAGGCUUUGACGGGUAGCCGGCCUGAGAGGGUGACCGGCCACAUUGGGACUGAGAUACGGCCCAGACUCCUACGGGAGGCAGCAGUGGGGAAUAUUGCACAAUGGGUGGAAGCCUGAUGCAGCAACGCCGUGUGCGGGAUGACGGCCUUCGGGUUGUAAACCGCUUUCGCUCAUGACGAAGCUUUGUGUGACGGUAGUGGGUAAAGAAGCACCGGCUAACUACGUG